UGAGGAAUAUUGGACAAUGGGCGCAAGCCUGAUCCAGCCAUGCCGCGUGAGUGAUGAAGGCCUUAGGGUUGUAAAACUCUUUUAGUAGGGAAAAUAAUGAUGGUACCUACAGAAAAAGCUCCGGCUAACUUCGUGCCAGCAGCCGCGGUAAUACGAAGGGAGCUAGCGUUACUCGGAAUAACUGGGCGUAAAGCGUAUGUAGGCGGAACCACAAGUCAGGGGUGAAAUCCCGGGGCUCAACCCCGGAAUUGCCUUUGAAACUGUAGUUCUUGAGUAUGACAGAGGAUGGUGGAAUUUCUAGUGUAGAGGUGAAAUUCGUAGAUAUUAGAAAGAACACCGGUGGCGAAGGCGACCAUCUGGGUCAUAACUGACGCUGAGAUACGAAAGCGUGGGGAGCAAACAGG
rnacentral:rRNA from 1 species